rnacentral:rRNA from 1 species
ACGUGGACAAUCCUGCCCCCCGGCCCGGGAUAGCCCAGGGAAACCUGGAUUAAUACCGGAUGAGACGGGACCCGCGAAGGCGGGACCCGGGAAAGGCGCUGCGGCGCCGGCGGGGGAUGAGUCUGCGUCCCAUUAGGCUAGACGGCGGGGUAAACGGCCCACCGUGGCGACGAUGGGUAGCCGGCCUGAGAGGGUGACGGCCACAUUGGAACUGAGACACGGUCCAGACUCCUACGGGAGGCAGCAGCUAAGAUCUUCCGCAAUGGGCGAAAGCCUGACGGAGCGACGCCCCGCGUGAACGAAGAAGGCCGUGAGGUUGUAAAGUUCUUUUCGGGAGGGGGAACAACCGUGGCAGGGAAUGGCCGCGGGAUGACGUGAAUCCCGGAAUAAGCCCCGGCUAACUACGUGCCAGCCGCAGC